CUAAGUUUCAGUGCACAAAAUUCUUUAUCGCUGAGACCCCUUGUUGGCAUACCAGUGAGGAUUUAUGGCUACAUUGUGCUGGUGAAGCAACUUUCAUGGUACGAAUGGAACAUGAAGCAG